UCGGCAUUGUGCCUGACGGGAUUGGUCUUUUAGAAGAAGACCGUGUCGGUAGGCUUGGUAGCUGUCGAGAACGAAGCGAACCCUAGGAACCGGCCGUGUACCGUCCGCCAUGGACGAGGCGCAGGAGAUCCUCCUGAGCUCUCUCAACAGUUCCGGGGUCUCCCUCCCCGCCGGCGUCUUUUCCAUUAAAGAUCUCGCCCCGGAGACCCUCGUCUCCAUCUGCGCUCAAUCCCUCCGCCUCCUUGACGACGAUGAGUCGCCCCCCUCCUUCGCCACCUUCCUCCCCGAAUCCACCGCGGAGCGCUUCAAGAUCUGUGCCGACGUCGCCUCUGCCGUCAAAUCCCUGGGAUACCGAGGGGAUCUCAGCUUCCACCAGUUCCUCUAUCCUUCUUAUGAUGACUCAUACAAGUUAAUAAGAUUUUUGGUGGAGAGGCUAUCUGAAUCAUCUGAAGGUAGAAGAGCCAGAGAAUAUACAGCAACCAAAUCUACUUUGGGCAGUGGUGAAGUUGCUGGUGAUAUCUGUAAUGAUACAUUAGAGAAGCUUAAAGAAAAGGAGGAUGAGGUGGGGGAGAGUCAAAGUGAAGUGAAUUUUCCUUGUGAAAGAAGAUCUUUGGGGGAAUCAAAUAAGGGAAUUGCAGAGCCAUCUGAGACGGUUGCUGAGGAGAUAUGCUCUGAUGCGUUGCUUGACACUGUUGCAGUUCCAGGGCAGUCAGGUGGGUCAGCUGAGAUUGGAACACCCUGUUCUGAGCGCAUAGAAUCCAGUGAGGUCAAAAGCCAUCACAGCAAGGAAGGUGUUGAAGAUGUUCCCGAAAAGUCUGUAAACUCUAAGAAAGAAUUAUGUGUUGAUGGAGAAAAUAUGGCCCAAACAGACAAGUAUGUUGCUGAACUAGAACGAAAAUUAGCUUCUUUACAAGAGCAAUUAUCCAAGCUAAGGGACAAAUCUGAGAGCUUGAAAAAUCAAGAAAAGACAAUGAUGGAGGCAAAACAGGUGAAGGCCUUGGAAGUUCAGAGCCUUGAAAGUGAGCAUGAGCUCCUAAAAGCUGCUAUGGAAAUGGCAUUAGAUGAACAACAUUCUGUUGGAUUCUAUAUUGAAAAGCUAAAUGAACAAGUAGAAGCGAAAAGGCAUAGUUUUAUGGAAUUGGAAUCACAGUGGAAUGAUCUCAAGCAAACGUUGGAACAGAGACAGAUGAGAGAGGAGCAGUCACUAGAUGCUGAAAAAUCUUCAGUGCAGAAAAAGCUAAUUAAAUUGAAAGAAAUUGAACAAGAAACAGAUGCCACCAUAUCUGACAUUCGCAAAAGAGAGGAUGAGCAUGCUAAACUUCUACUGGAGCUUGAGAAACUGCCAAAGAUCUCUUCUAGAAAAUCCUACAUCCAACGUAUAACUGAGAUUACAAAGAAUAGCUGGAAACAAGAUGCUGACAUUGACCGAAUCAUAAAAGAGACUCGAGAGCUUCAGUUAGAGAGUAAUUCCAUACAAGAACGCCUUCAUAGGACUUAUGCCGUGGUUGAAGAAACUGUCUUCAGGAAUGCGAAAGAUGACCCAGUAAGGCGGCAGAGCUCGAAGAGAGGCUGCCGAGCAAGAUGCUAAACUUACGGCCAUUUCUUCCCGUAGUUUCGACAUCAACAAACUCCAAGCAGAUCUGGAUUCGAUCAGGAAGGAAAAUGAGUUUCUAGAGCAGCAGCUCAGCCAUGAAUAAUCUAAAUGUCUCUUCCUUCUCUUGAAGAAAAAACCUAUAGCUCACCCACUACUGAUCUCCAUUUGGUUCACCGGUGGAAUGCGGAAGUCAGUGAUUGGCCAAGCACAGGCAGGGGCCCGACUAACACUACUGACCCCACCAUGUUUGGCACCAAUCCCAACUGCCACAUCCAGGUUGAACUGAGCGGUGAUCAUCAGCCAGUGACCGAUAACAGUACUCCUUGAAUUUUCUUUUGUUGUAGCUGUUUGUAGCCGAAACAACCAUAUUUAUAACUUUGUGGGAACCACCAGUGGUCCAGUAAGUUUCAUUGAGUUAAUGAGUUCUCUUCACUCUCCGCAGACUGUUGAUACCAGCAAAGAAUCUUGUGCACAUCCUUGCAACAACAGUAGUUACAUUAGCAGCAUUCAGUUCGACUAUUACCGAUGGCUGGGCACUCAAUUUACAAGGGAAGGGAGCUACUAUACCUCUUGGAGGUGUCUGUGGCUGCAGCAGUAUAUAUAUAUUUUUUUUUCAGGAUGUUUACGUCUGUUGUUCUGGGGAUGGCUCCCGCAUGGUUGGUUGUGCGUAUGAUUUUGGGACUGGUUUAAGGGUAUGAACAUGGUCCAUUCUGUCAGGUUCCAGUAGACAUGUGGGUGUGCUUGUCUAAUAUUAGAAUAAAGAAUAAUGUUUCUUGUAUUAUAUUUUCGUCAGACAAUUCAUACCAGAUGAUGGCCAAAUGACUGGUUGUGAGGGGUGGACUUCCUCUAGCCAUCAGCCAUUUAAAUGCCAAUUGUGUACUGCAGUUCUGUGUGAAGUGUGCAACCUUUGGGGACCUGCACACCUUGGAAUUUCUUCAAGGGUUGCACCUUCGGAGGAUCCCCCCAAAAAGAUGAAAAAUGUCAGAAGUAAUCUAUGUUAUGUAACACAGACAUUGGAUGUCCGUGGUGCUUGGUCACUCUUAAGAUUAAGUGGGUCAGGAUGUCUCAUUUCUUUUUUAUUAACACUAUUCCUGCAGUUAUUUACGUCCUACAUUUACUCUCUUAUAAAUGCUCAAAUAAAGCAGAUGGGUUAUUCU